rnacentral:rRNA from 1 species
CCUACGGGUGGCAGCAGUGAGGAAUAUUGGUCAAUGGCCGCUAGCCUGAACCAGCCAAGUAGCGUGAAGGAUGACGGCCCUAUGGAUUGUAAACUUCUUUUAUAAGGGAAUAAAAUGCAGUAUGUAUGCUUCUUUGCAUGUACCUUAUGAAUAAGCAUCGGCUAACUCCGUGCCAGCAGCCGCGGUAAUACGGAGGAUCCGAGCGUUAUCCGGAUUUAUUGGGUUUAAAGGGAGCGUAGGCGGGUUGUUAAGUCAGUUGUGAAAGUUUGCGGCUCAACCCUAAAAUUGCAGUUGAUCCUGGCAGCCUUGAGUAGAGUAGAGGUAGGCGGAAUGCGUGGUGUAGCGGUGAAAUGCUUAGAUAUUGCGCAGAACUCCGAUUGCGAAGGCAGCAUGCCGGACUGUAUCUGACGCUGAGGCACGAAAGCGUGGGUAUCAAACAGGAUUAGAUACCCGUGUAGUC